rnacentral:sRNA from 1 species
GGUGCAUGGAACAAUAGCUAUGACACAGCGGUAGGAGAAAAGAACAGCGCUAUCGGGUAUCAUGAGGCUCUCAAGUGCUGGAUUUAUCUACUCACAGCUCCUCUCAUAGUCUUGCAUAUCAUAUCAUGCCAGGUAUCCUAGACAUGGGGUUGAUUUGAUAUUGAUUGCUGUAGGUUAAUGAGUGAAGGCGGAGCUCGUUCGAGAUUUGCUCGAGAUAUUCAAGCCAAGGAGGAUAACAGGAAGCCCUCCUCAAGGAGCAUUAUAUUCCUAUGGAUCUUUCAUAAUGUGAGGAGACAUAUCUAGAAUACGUCUUGGAUGGCAAAAGGAAGACGGGAGACGGUUAAAAGUUAAAUAUAUAACUAAAGUGAAAAAAAAAAAAAAAAUAGGGACGGUACCUCUCCAACCCUGUUAAACGCCUCGAUGUUAUUUAGCAUGCAUGGAUUGAUCAACAACGUCUUCCAUCACCCAAACUUUUAAGGUAGAAAA